AUACGAAAGGGGCUAGCGUUGUUCGGAAUCACUGGGCGUAAAGCGUGCGUAGGUGGUAUGGCAAGUUAGAUGUGAAAGCCCAGGGCUCAACCUUGGAACUGCAUUUAAAACUGCCAAACUAGAGAUCGGUAGGGGAUAGUGGAAUUCCUAGUGUAGCGGUGAAAUGCGUAGAUAUUAGGAGGAACACCAGAGGCGAAGGCGACUAUCUGGGCCGAUACUGACACUAAGGCACGAAAGCGUGGGGAGCAAACAGGAUUAGAUACCCCGGUAGUCC
rnacentral:rRNA from 1 species